rnacentral:ncRNA from 1 species
GUCAGCUAAAGGCAAAGAAUCUGAAAGGGUUCGACGCAAAGCCACCGGCCUAACAAGCGCAGAUUGCACGACCGUUCAUACGCUAUCCGGCGUGGUUACUUGUCGCAGUGCUUUAUGGCAGCGGGGCUACCUGA